CCAUACAUACAGGGGAGCUACAUGUAUUACUUGGGGUGCCGCUGCCCCCCGGCCAUUGCUAAUUAGUGAAGGAAAUUUCUUCGUGAAGGCUCAAAUUUAGUAGAGUGCACUCAUUUGGCCCCCUCAAAGUUGCAUAUUUUCUAUUUGCCCCCCUGAGAUCCUUCAUUAGCUCCGUCAUUGGUACCGUAUCAUAGUGUCAAAAAAUAUCUUACAUUAUGAGGGAGUAGUAUAUCGUUGGACUGUAGGCAGGGUCUUCUGGACAGCACAACCAUCACAGCACAGAUCUAGCCUGGGGAAUUUUCCAUUUUGGUACCUGGUCUUUACAAUUUUCAUGAGCGUAGCGUGGCCAUUCCUGAGGUAGCAUUCGGUGUAGAAGACGACAGCAGCUACGGCAACGGCUUUAAUGCAGUCUUGUUCCUUUGCCAUGACGAGGAAAGAAAAAAGGAAGAAACAGAUCAAACACUGGUCCCAUACGUCUCUGUGAUCACAUCACAUCACUCAAAGAAAGAAAAGAAAAAAGAUACUAACUCCUAAGUGAGGCCAAAAACGUUAAAACUAAUUGCCGUGUUGCUACAGCAGUACAGCUAAAUAUAAAAAAGAUUACUCCUAAGUGAGGCAGUUGACUGAAGAGUUAACGCUACUGCCUUCCCUAGUUAACCAACUUUCUUAAGAACAACAAUACGAAAAUAGAACAGCAUUGAUCAACUAAGCAUAAUUAGAGUUGCGUUAUUUUUAGUGGUUGGCGGAUUCAAAUAUAUAUAAACAAAUAAAUAUGGAUUGUAUCCCUUGGGGCCUUGGGGGUAUGAAUGUUGAUUAUGCACUGGCAGUAAUCUACACAUUUUUGUGGAAACUCUGAAAAGUGUUCUGUCACUAACUACCUCGAGCAGUUUAGCCAAGAUUCGUUUUGACAGCAUCUGAUAGCCUAAGCAGAUUUUUACCUUGCUAGUUGAUUUCUCAUGAGAUGAACAGCACGCGCCAGCAUUUCCUACACAGUAGAGCGAGCCUGAGAACGCCCCUAACACAGCCAAAGUAAUCCACGAUUACCUGCACAGAAGGUUGGAAACUGUAACGCCAAACGACAAGCAGAUAGAUUUCUUUGCAAGUCACAACACCCCAUAGAAAGGAAAACGACCAGGUAUGCCUGACAACAGAUAGAGAAAAUAAAGAGUGCACCAAUAGUCCUUGGGGCUAGCAAGUUGAUAGUGUACAUCAACCUAGUAUAAUUUGACCAAAACAAUCUAACAACGAAUGGAGAUCAAAGCACAUCUCCAGCCCCUGCAUCCAAAGCGACAGUGCAUGUUUUCAUGCAGUUUAACAUCUCUAUAGUAUCACAUAUGUAUCUUUAAAUCCAGAAGUUCCAUUUAAUAUGGAUACUGUUCGGCAAGUCACAUUUGAAAUCAUAGUUCUAAAAUUGUUUGUUGUGCAGGAAUUGGCAACAUCUUCACACAUGUGUACCACAAGGAAAAAACCUAUCAAAAUUAUAAAUGGAGCAAGCGGGACAAUUCGUCCAUCACGGUAAGCAGCUCUACUUUUUACUAAAUCGAUAAUGGUUGAUACUGUUUAUCUCAGAGUAAGUGUUCCACUGAAAAACAUGUAACGCUCCAUAUCAGGAGUUCAUCAUUCAUUAAUUUAUUAUUCACCUAACAUGCUGAAUCUUUGUGAUCCCGUUACAUAAUCAGGAUGACACUUCUUCUAGGAGCACCUGGUUCUGGGAAAACUACUUUUUUAAAAGCAUUGGCAGGAAAGUUGGAUUCUUCUUUGAAGGUACACUGAGUUAUCUACUUGCCACCGAAACCACUUACUAACAAGACAAUCAUUGAUUAACCAGCAUUGUUUUUUUCUUGAUAUCACAUCUCUUAAUAGCUCAAAGGAAAGGUCAUGUACAAUGGAGAAGAAGUGAAUUCCUCAACACCUCAAUACCUGCAUGCCUACAUUAGCCAGUAUGAUCUUCAUCAUGCUGAGAUGACCGUCAGAGAGACGAUUGAUUUCUCUUCCAAGAUGUUGGGAACCAAUAAUGAAUUUGGUGAGACACCCUCUUGGGUAUGGGGAUAUAGCUUUAGUUCCCGUGUAUAUGAAUGAGCUAAUUUAUAACCAAACCCAGACACUGAAAAUUAAGAAGCACUCCUUUCAAGGUUUUUUUCCCUUUGCAUGACAUAAAUACUAAUGCAAAAUUCCUGUUUGAAAUGGUCGCCUUAGAGAUGCUGGGAGAAGCAAUAAGAAGGAAAAAGGGUGUCAUCAACAAAGUGGACCAAGAUCUUGACUCGUUUAUUAAGGUUACUAAGUUUAUUUUCCGCCAAUUUUGGUAAAACUGGAAUCCAGUUCCCCCAAUUGCUUAAAUCUGUUUUCUGCAGGCUACCACCUUCGGAGAAGGAAGCAACCUUACAACAAACUAUAUUAUCAAGGUAAAUUCGUAACUUUUCAAUUUAUACAUUUGUCUUCAUAACAUAAUCACAAACUUUGUGCAAAUGCAGAUACUUGGUUUGUCCGAGUGUGCAGAUACCCUAGUGGGGGAUGAGAUGAGAAGAGGCAUAUCAGGAGGACAAAAAAAGAGAGCCACGAUUGGUAAGGAUUCUAUAGUGUUUACUAUGUAUCUUGUUCCUCUUAUCACCCUCUGUUCCCACUUUAUAGAGUGCAUUUUCUAAUGCGACCUUAUUUCAUAAUAAAAAAAAGGGUUUAUGUUAUAGUCCUUGGCCCAAUAAAAAAUUUAUCACCUCAACAACUUAUAUUUUGUACAGUAUUGCUUGAUGAAACAAAGAUCCUAGUUAAACCCACAAUGAAAAGAUUGUAAAGUAACAAAAUGUCAAAAUGACACCAUAAUUUCUUGACAUGUUCGAUUAAAUGGACUAUGAAAACAGUAUGCGUGUACUUUUGUAGUGAGCCGGUCACGAUAUUACAGAAUGCUCUCUUCCUGCUGAACUCUCUAUUGUUCUCCAGAAAAAAUAAUUUGAGGAUGAUAUUUAUUCUACUGAAUAAGGGCAACUCUGAAUAUGUCAGAUGUAACUAAAAAUUAUGUAGAUUGCUGGAAGGUACCCACACUGCAAUGUGCUGCAUUUAUAAUAUAUAUUUUCCAUGGCCUAUUCUGCUUACGAAUAUGUCAGAUGUAACUAGAAAUUAAGUAGAUUGCUGGAAGGUACCCACACUGCAAUGUGCUGCAUUUAUAAUAUAUAUUUUCCAUAGCCUAUUCUGCUUACGAAUAUGCCAGUUAUACAGACGAUGGUGCCAGUACCAAAGUUAACAACUAUAAAUAUUGACGAUGUAAUCAACAGUGGUUUUCUUUUAUCAAUUUGUCAUUGUUGCUAUAUUUUUAAGAUGAAUUCACUAAUGCAGGAGAGAUGCUAGUUGGUCUAGCAAGAUGCUUCUUUAUGGAUGACAUAUCAACAGGUCUAGAUAGCUCCACCACAUACGAGAUCGUAAAGUUUCUCCAACAAAUGGCUCAUCUGAUGGAUCUCACUGUGGUUAUUUCCUUGCUUCAACCACCUCCUGAGACGUUGGAAUUAUUUGACGACAUAAUCCUUUUAUGCGAGGGGCAAAUUGUAUAUCAUGGUCCUCGAGAAAAUGCUACUGGUUUCUUUGAAAUUAUGGGAUUCAAAUGCCCCAGCAGGAAGAAUGUAGCUGAUUUCCUUCAAGAGGUACUAGAUUAUAAACUCUAAUAAGAGGGAACUACUGAAUAAAUCUAUAUUGCUAACUUAAGGGCAACCAGUCAAUAAAUAUCAGAAAGUAACAAUGUAGCAUGCAGUACAUGAGUUGCAAUUCCAUCCACAAAAUUCACUAUUAUGUUAUAUGUACUUGUUCGUGCAUAAUAAUGCAAGUAACUGACAGCAACUUUUCUUCAUUUGACCAGGUAACCUCGAAGAUGGAUCAAAAGCAAUACUGGAUUGGUGAUGAAAAUAAGUAUCAAUACCGGUCAAUCGAAAAAUUUGCAGAAUCUUUUCGUUCAUCCUAUCUCCCACAACCUGCGAAAGACGAUCUCUGCAAGACAAACAAUACAGGAAAGAGAAAGGAGAUUAUAACAAGUGCAACUCGCAGGAUCUCUAGAUGGAAUAUUUUCAAGGCAUGCUUUUCAAGGGAAGUAUUGCUUCUUAAAAGAAACUCCCCACUUCAUAUAUUUAAGACUGUACAGAUAACUGUUAUGGCUUUGGUGAUCUCAACGGUUUUCCUUCGAACAAAUAUGAACCAUAAAACUGUACUCGAUGCCAAUAAGUACAUGGGAUCACUCUUUAUGGCUGUUGUGAUAGUAAACUUCAAUGGCAUGACUGAAAUUGGAAUGACAAUAAAGCGACUCCCCACUUUCUACAAGCAAAGAGAGUUACUAGCAUUGCCAGGAUGGGCACUUCUUUCUUCGGUAUUCCUUAUCAGCCUCCCAAUGUCACUUCUAGAGACAGGUCUGUGGACCAGCUUAACCUACUAUGUGAUUGGCUACGCACCUUCCUUUCUCAGGUACCCCUCCUAGUCAAUUCAAUAUCUAAUGAGCAAAAUAUUUGAAUAAGCUGGAAUAACAGAACGAGUUACCUUGCUUCUUGCAGAUUCAUCCAGCAGUUUUUGGUACUUUUUGCCAUGCAUCAAAUGUCAAUGGGCCUCUAUCGUUUCUUAGCGGCAAUAGGAAGGACGCAAGUAAUGGCCAACAUGCUAGGCACUGCAGCUCUCAUAGCAAUCUACAUAUUUGGAGGCUUUGUCAUAUCAAAAGGUUAGAUGUUUUAGCUCAGAAUAACGUAAGAUGUAUGAGUACUUGUGCAACGAAGAUGCUUAACAGUUUUGUACAUUGAAACAGAUAACCUCCAACCAUGGUUGCAGUGGGGAUACUGGACAUCCCCAUUCACCUAUGCACAGAAUGCUGUUGCCCUAAAUGAGUUCCUUGAUGAAAGAUGGGCUAUUGUAAGCAAUUGUUUCAACUAACAUUCUUGAUCCAAUGUACAUAACCCGUGCAAUUAGUUAUGACCUGAUGAUGAUUUUUCAUGCUGACAGGAAUUUUACUAUGCAAAUGCUAAAACAGUUGGUGAAGCUAUCCUCAAGAUCAGGGGGUUGCUCACAGAGUGGCAUUGGUACUGGAUUUGUGUCGGCAUUUUAUUUGGAUUCUCGCUGGUCCUCAACAUCCUCACUAUAUUUGCA
rnacentral:lncRNA from 1 species